CCUACGGGAGGCUGCAGUGGGGAAUAUUGGGCAAUGGGCGCAAGCCUGACCCAGCAACGCCGCGUGAAGGAAGAAGGCUUUCGGGUUGUAAACUUCUUUUCUGAGGGACGAAGAAAGUGACGGUACCUCAGGAAUAAGCCACGGCUAACUACGUGCCAGCCGCCGCGGUACUACGUAGGUGGCAAGCUUUAUCCGGAUUUAUUGGGUGUAAAGGGCGGGUAGGCGGGAAAGCAAGUCAGAUGUGAAAACUCAGGGCUCAACCCUGAGCCUGCAUUUGAUACUGUUGUUCUUGAGUGCUGGAGAGGCAAGCGGAAUUCCGUGUGUAGCGGUGAAAUGCGUAGAUAUACGGAGGAACACCAGUGGCGAAGGCGGAUUGCUGGACAGUAACUGACGCUGAGGCGCGAAAGCGUGGGGAGCAAACAGGAUUAGAUACCCCGGUAGUC
rnacentral:rRNA from 1 species